GAUGAAGAACGUAGCGAAAUGCGAUAAGUAAUGCGAAUUGCAGAAUUCCAGUGAAUCAUCGAAUCUUUGAACGCACCUUGCGCCCGCCAGUAUUCUGGCGGGCAUGCCUGUUCGAGCGUCAUUUCAACCAUCAAGCCCCGGGCUUGUGUUGGGGAUCUGCGGCUGCCCGCAGGCCCUGAAAACCAGUGGCGGGCUCGCUGUCACUCCGAGCGUAGUAGCACUCGUAUCUCGCUCAGGGCGUGCCGCGGGCUCCGGCCGUUAAACCGCCUCUUUAGCACCCAAAGGUUGACCUCGGAUCAGGUAGGAGGACCCGCUGAACUUAAGCAUAUCAAUAAGCGGAGGA
rnacentral:misc_RNA from 1 species